rnacentral:rRNA from 1 species
GAUGAACGCUGGCGGCGUGCCUAAUACAUGCAAGUCGAGCGAACAGACGAGAAGCUUGCUUCUCUGAUAUUAGCGGCGGACGGGUGAGUAACACGUGGAUAACCUACCUAUAAGACUGGGAUAACUUCGGGAAACCGUAGCUAAUACCGGAUAAUAUUUUGAACCGCAUGGUUCAAAAGUGAAAGACGGUCUUGCUGUCACUUAUAGAUGGAUCCGCGCUGCAUUAGCUAGUUGGUAAGGUAACGGCUUACCAAGGCAACGAUGCAUAGCCGACCUGAGAGGGUGAUCGGCCACACUGGAACUGAGACACGGUCCAGACUCCUACGGGAGGCAGCAGUAGGGAAUCUUCCGCAAUGGGCGAAAGCCUGACGGAGCAACGCCGCGUGAGUGAUGAAGGUCUUCGGAUCGUAAAACUCUGUUAUUAGGGAAGAACAUAUGUGUAAGUAACUAUGCACAUCUUGACGGUACCUAAUCAGAAAGCCACGGCUAACUACGUG